rnacentral:tRNA from 1 species
UUGGAUGUCGAUUAAUGGUAAAUCGUCUGCCUUCCAAGCAGAGGCUACGGGUUCGAUCCCCGUCAUCCACU